GUGACCUCAGGUCAGGCGGGAAUACCCGCUGAAUUUAAGCAUAUCAAUAAGCGGAGGA
rnacentral:rRNA from 1 species